AACGAACGCUGGCGGCAGGCUUAACACAUGCAAGUCGAACGCCCCGCAAGGGGAGUGGCAGACGGGUGAGUAACGCGUGGGAACAUACCCUUUUCUACGGAAUAGCUCUGGGAAACUGGAAUUAAUACCGUAUACGCCCUACGGGGGAAAGAUUUAUCGGGGAAGGAUUGGCCCGCGUUGGACUAGCUAGUUGGUGGGGUAAAGGCCUACCAAGGCGACGAUCCAUAGCUGGUCUGAGAGGAUGAUCAGCCACAUUGGGACUGAGACACGGCCCAAACUCCUACGGGAGGCAGCAGUGGGGAAUAUUGGACAAUGGGCGCAAGCCUGAUCCAGCCAUGCCGCGUGAGUGAUGAAGGCCUUAGGGUUGUAAAGCUCUUUCACCGAUGAAGAUAAUGACGGUAGUCGGAGAAGAAGCCCCGGCUAACUUCGUG
rnacentral:rRNA from 1 species